UAGAACUGCAGGGUCACGCCUGGGUUUCCUUCUCCGGCAUGUUACACGACGCCUACGCCCAACGUGUGUUAGCCCCGUUCCGACACAAACGUGUAAAGAACACACCCACUUGCAGGAUGUACUGGUCAGGACGUGUGAGCGGUCAGACGGGGACAAAGGUCAGAAACUCGGCUGCCUGGCGUGGUCUCAGCUUUUCUCAGAAUGAAGUCGGGCGAAGGCUUCCCUGCGCGCUUACAGUUGGCGCCGUUAGUCAGGUGUGGGAGGUGAACGCACCAGAAGCCCAACUUCUGCGUAACGAGGAGUCGCCCCCAGGGCCGUGGGUGCUCCCUCUAGACGUUGCACCCAGAGCGCCUUUACCCGCAGCCAAACAGUGAACCCCACGCCUUCCCGGGGUGCAGAUGCUGGGCCCUGCUCUCGGCCGGGCCCCUCGCGGUUCUGGAUACAAUCGCGCACAAUGCCCACCUUUCCUCCAACUUGGCACAUGAAGUAAUUUUGAGAAUUGUUUAACUGGCACCCAGUUUUCUGAUGUACAAAUAGGAAAUAUUGGGAAGUCAGAUGGACAUUCUGCACUGCUGAGACAAAAGCAGAGAACAGAAAUCCCACAUGCAUUCCUGUCUGGCAGAAUCAGGAGUCAGUGGAAGAUGGGCCUCUGCCAUUCAUGUGGAGUGUCUGGAUGAUACGUGUUGGUGUGCGAUGCAUUUUAACUGUGGGUACAAGCAUUCUCUGAUCGGGAGCUUCUGGGCUGUGUAGAAUGGAGAAAGUGAAAUGAGCAAUUGCAAGCUAGCACCCACCCCUCUUUCCUCGCUGUGGACCUGAUGUGACCAGCGCCUUCAAGCUCCUGCUGCCUGGACUUCCUUCCAUGAUGAACUGUAUACCUUGAACUAUGAGUUAAAAUUACUCCUUAAUUUGCUUUUGUCAGAGUAUUUUAUCACAGCAAUAAGAAACUGAGAAGUCUUACAAAAGAAAAGCAUAUUGUGACCCACCCAUUUCUAAAUAUUUAUACAGGAGAAAUUAAGACAUAAGUCCGAAGUCCGAAGCCUUGUAUAACAAGGGGAAAGACUGACAUAUUGAUAAAAUGACAAACAACACAAUAUUGAUGCAGUGGAAUUCUGUUCAGCAAUAAGAAGAAACACAUUGCUGAUGUGUUGGAAGCCUUUCACAGGUGUGGUGCACAAAAGAAGGCAACUGAAAGAGGUUUUCACUGAGUCUAUCCACAAAAAUCUGUGACCACUCAGCAAUGAGGAGAAGGUGCAUGCUCACCACUGAGCCUGAUGGCCUGCACUCUUUCUCCGGGACCUACGUGGUGGGAGGAGACACCAACUUCUGACUCUCCCACAUGACCAUGCACUCCCCUCUUCCCACAAUCAUAAAUAAAUAAAUGCAAUUAAUAACUGUUUAAGCUAAUUAGGCUAAAAUCCAUUAAUAAGCAAAGCUGACCUCAUAGUGAUGGGAAAAUGAUAUACCAGUGGAGUGAAGGAGAUAUGGUGUAUGGAAUACAGAGUGUU